UCUCUCUCUCUCUCUUUCUCUCUCUCCUUCUCUCACUCUCUGGCUUCAGAGAGUAUCUAUGGAAACGUAAAACUCGUCCAACAAACAAAAAUAAAAUAAAAUAUAUAUAAAAAAAAAGGACCAAAAGAAGAAAAAAGAAAAGAGAAAAAUAAAAAAGGGAAAAUUAUAUCAAUCUGUGUCCGAUUGUGAGUGCUUUUUCAUUUCAUUUUAGCUUCUUUGUUGCUUGUAGCUGUUGGUUGUUGUAGUUGCGGUGUUCUUGCUCUUGAUGCUCUCUUCCCGUGUCUUUUACGAAACCCAAUUGAAUUGAUGCACCAAACAGCUUCCCCAUCUCUCACUCUCUCAAGGAGGCUGUGAGGUAGAUCUGGAGAAGGGCAAGGUCUCUUCAUUGAUUUGUUCUUUGAAUCUUGAAGAGUAGCAAAGCUGGCAACCACACUGGGUUGGAGGUUUGCUGCCAGCAAUGGCAGCACCCUUGCCACUAAUGAUCUGG